rnacentral:rRNA from 1 species
GCGGCGGCCGCCCCCCUUGGGCCGGCGGAGCCGGGGGCGCCGUGCC